rnacentral:other from 1 species
UGUUCUCUGAGCUGUUAGUGAUUGGAUCGACGUCCCUGAGCCGAUAUUCAGAUUGCCUAGGGAUUCACCUUGUCGCUUUUGUGCAGGCCCGGCUUGUACCGGGAAGCCUACGGUGGCAUCAGACUCCCGCCUUGAACCCAGGGUUCAAGGGCUACCAUCCGACACGGCAGCUUCGGAGAACAU